rnacentral:tRNA from 1 species
GGCUGUAGCUCAGUGGUAGAGCACUUGCCUUGCACAUGGGAAGCCCUGGGUUUGAUUCCCAGCACCA